UAUGCUUGGUCCGAUCAUGCUGAAUUGGAUUAUAAACUAUACUGAUUGCAGCUUUGUUAUCACAAAACAAAAACAAAUCAUUAGCUUCAAACAGUUUUUAUUCCACCGUCAACUUCCGUAACCACAAUAACUCACAAAUGCCUUGAGUCAUUGCCCUGAAUUCGGCCUCGGCACUGGAUCUAGCUGUCACAUUUUGCUUCUUACUUCUCCAAGUGACUAAAUUAUCACCAACAAAAGUACAGUAUCAUUAUCCUGAAGUCGAUCUCCUAUCAUCAAGAGACCUAGCCCAAUCUGCAUCUGUAAAGGC
rnacentral:misc_RNA from 1 species